UUAAGCAUAUCAAUAAGCGGAGGAAAAGAAACUAACAAGGAUUCCCCUAGUAACGGCGAGUGAAGCGGGAUGAGCUCAAAUUUAAAAUCUGGCAGUCUAAGAUUGUCCGAGUUGUAGUCUAGAGAAGCGUUUUCCGCGUAGGCCUGUGUACAAGUCCCUUGGAAUAGGGCGUCAUAGAGGGUGAGAAUCCCGUCCUUGACACAGAUCAUCUAUGCUCUGCGAUGCGCUCUCGAAGAGUCGAGUUGUUUGGGAAUGCAGCUCAAAAUGGGUGGUAAAUUCCAUCUAAAGCUAAAUAUUGGCGAGAGACCGAUAGCGAACAAGUACCGUGAGGGAAAGAUGAAAAGCACUUUGGAAAGAGAGUUAAACAGUACGUGAAAUUGUUGAAAGGGAAACGAUUGAAGUCAGUCAUGUGGUUUGAGGUUCAGCCGGUUCUGCCGGUGUAUUCCUCAGACUACAGGCCAGCAUCAGUUUCGACCGGUGGAAAAAGUUGGAGGGAACGUGGCAUCCUCGGAUGUGUUAUAGCCCUCUUUCACAUGCAUCGGACGGGACUGAGGAACGCAGCGUGCCUUUAUGGUCGGUCUUCGGACACGAACGCGCUUAGGAUGCUGGCAUAAUGGCUUUAAACGACCCG
rnacentral:rRNA from 1 species